CCCCUCUCAGGGUCGCACCUGGAGAGUUUCCAGUACUCUACCAGUCUCGACUACUGGAGGGAGAGUCAAGCAGACGCAUGCCCACUUCAUUCCUAGCUUGCACAGUGGCUAGAGAGUGGAAAGUAAUGUGCUACAAGU